rnacentral:rRNA from 1 species
AGAAUUAACGCUGGCGGCGUGCCUCAGACAUGCAAGUCGAACGAUUAAACUUUCCUUCGGGAAAGAUAUAAAGUGGCGCACGGGUGAGUAACACGUAAGUAAUCUACCUUCGAGUGGGGAAUAACAUCGGGAAACCGAUGCUAAUACCGCAUAAUGCAGCGGCAUCGCAAGAUGACAGUUGUUAAAGGAGCAAUCCGCUUGAAGAGGAGCUUGCGGCAGAUUAGCUAGUUGGUAGGGUAAUGGCCUACCAAGGCGACGAUCGAUAGCCGGCCUGAGAGGGUGAUCGGCCACACUGGAACUGAGACACGGUCCAGACUCCUACGGAGGCAGCAGUGGGGAAUUUGCGCAAUGGCUAACGCCUGACGCAGCAACGCCGCGUGGAGGAUGAAGGUCUUGGAUUG